rnacentral:rRNA from 1 species
CUGGAGGUAUCAGAAGUGCGAAUGCUGACAUAAGUAACGAUAAAGCGGGUGAAAAGCCCGCUCGCCGGAAGACCAAGGGUUCCUGUCCAACGUUAAUCGGGGCAGGGUGAGUCGACCCCUAAGGCGAGGCCGAAAGGCGUAGUCGAUGGGAAACAGGUUAAUAUUCCUGUACUUGGUGUUACUGCGAAGGGGGGACGGAGAAGGCUAUGUUGGCCGGGCGACGGUUGUCCCGGUUUAAGCGUGUAGGCUGGUUUUCCAGGCAAAUCCGGAAAAUCAAGGCUGAGGCGUGAUGACGAGGCACUACGGUGCUGAAGCAACAAAUGCCCUGCUUCCAGGAAAAGCCUCUAAGCAUCAGGUAACAUCAAAUCGUACCCCAAACCGACACAGGUGGUCAGGUAGAGAAUACCAAGGCGCUUGAGAGAACUCGGGUGAAGGAACUAGGCAAAAUGGUGCCGUAACUUCGGGAGAAGGCACGCUGA